UCCCCCGCCGGGCACGUAGCACAAGGUCAAGGUCCCACACAUUGUUACUGCCAAAUGUCCAUCUCCGCCCCUCUCCUCGCCGGGCACGUGGCACAAGGUCUAGGUUACACACAUAGAUGACACGUGUCAGCUGUACGUGCACUUUGAAGGACCAGAGGAGCCUAUGUCUCUAGCCGACGUUGUGGAUGAAAUGACCCUUCGCGCCGAGAAUUCCGGACCUUUAAAGUUAGUGCCGGCGCCUGGCGAGUUGGUAUCGGCGCCGUAUGAGGGCAGCUACUACCGAGCCAGAGUCAUAGCAGUGCAUGACCAAAUAGAGGUGUUCUAUAUAGAUUACGGUAACACGGCGACCGUGUCUAUCUCCGAUCUUCGUCCGCUGGAGCUCCGCUGGCUGGCGCUGCCGAUGCGCGCCGUGGCGUGCCGGCUGGCCGGCGUGUCCGUGUCCGUGUCCGGGGCCGGGGCCGGCGUGUCCGUGUCCGGGGCCGGGGCCGUGGCCGGCGUGUCCGUGUCCGGGGCCGGGGCCGGGGCCGGCGUGUCCGUGUCCGGGGCCGGGGCCGGGGCCGGCGUGUCCGUGUCCGGGGCCAGCGUCAGCGAGACGCUUAGGGGACUCGCGUUGGACAGAACUAUGCAGGCACAAAUUAUUGCUCGAGGCCUUGACGAAAUGACAGUGAAACUUAUCGACGCCGACGGUUUCGACGUCGGCGAGCAACUGGCCGUGUUCGCCGGCAUCACCCUACAGCCUUACGAUGUAGAACAUGACGAGCAACGUUGCGUGCUCGUGCCGGCUUAGCUGAACUUUUGAGCCAAGGCGCUGGAGUUCGGGUUGCCAACCUUGGUGAAUAGUUUUGUGGUACAUUUGCUAUCAAUUUGCGGGACUUGGGUAUACAAUGCGGGACUCCUUCGCCUGGCCUAACUGGGAAAGGUAUACCUAUUGGCCGUCAACGUGUUGAAAGGCAUCAAAAAUACAACCAAGCUUCGAUCACGGCACUACGCGCACUUCAACUCUUGUGGCGCGCGAACCGCGACGCUGCAGGGGACUAUCGAGUGCGACCGCUGGCCGAAGGAUGUCGUGUUUCGGAGGUUCCGGGGCAAAGUGCCGAAACCGACACAAGAUCAGACGAUUCAAUGGGUUUUAUCAUCUAAAUCUUCAUUAAAUUUACUUCUAUGAGUAUUACCAUGCAACUCUUCUUUUUUUAUUUAUGUAUAAUAUUUCUAAUCUACUGAUGUAAAGUCAUACAAUUGUGUAGUAUUGACAUACCAAAAUAAACGAUGAACUGCGGAUUUAUUGAGGCAUAUGCACUUAAAUAAAAUGAACAAUAUUUGUACAUACAUAUAAUAACGUCACAUCAGAUCUUUACGUCUACGAACUUAUUGACGUAUCCGUCUUGGCUAAAAUUUAUGUAUUUGUAUAGAAUCAUAAACUCAUACUUAUUAAACUUAUUAAAACUGUUUAUUAUGAUAAUACCUAGAUACGAAUUACGUUAUUCUAAGUAAAAUGUAAUUAGUGGAUAACUGUCAUUGGCCAUCUGUUAUGUAAUCACUCAUAUGUAAAACUUUUAUUUACGGCUGUUGUUGUCCUAAAUAUCAAUAAAAAAAAAAAUACUCGUAGUGUUUAGUUUUAUGUUUAUAAACUAUAAAUAUUUUUAAUAAAUAUUUUGGGACAAUCUUACACAGAUCGACCUAACAAAGCUUUGAUACAUUUUUUUAGGCGUACAUAGGCUAUGAAGACUGCUUACCAUCAGGCGGGCCGUAUGCUUGUUUGCCACCGACGUAGUAUAAAUAAAAAAAGACAAGAUAGUACUCAGGUUCUGAUGAUGCAGCUGAAAGGCUCCGUGUACCAGUCAACAAAGUUUGGGCUCGUUUGAUUCAUCUCAACAAUAUCUUUGGCACAAGGUACUCCUCAAUCAUCAGACCCUGAGUACUAUCUUAGUAGUACUAUCUUGUUUUAAAGAUCUAGUUGACAGCGUUUGUAUGGAAAAAGCGCAACUAAGAAUUCCACUUAAGAGCUUAC